UCCUAUGAUGGCAUGAGUGCAUCGGUUGACAAAGGAAGACCAACCAAUGCCAUCUACCUGGACUUCUGCAAGGCCUUUGACAUGGUCCCACAUGACACACUGGUCUCUGAAGUGGAGAGAGAUGGAUUUGAUGGGUGGACCAUUCAGUGGA